UUGUUUAUAUUUGAGAUUUGACCUGCCCAAUGAUUUAUUUAAUGGCCGCGGUAUCUUGACCGUGCAAAGGUAGCAUAAUCAUUAGUCAUUUAAUUGUUGACUUGUAUGAAUGGUUGGACGAAGUAUUAACUGUCUUAGUUAUAUAUUUAGAAUUUAAAUUUUAAGUUAAAAUGCUUAAAUUUUUUUAUAGGACGAGAAGACCCUAUAGAUCUUUAUUAAAUAAUUUAUUUUAUGUUUUAGUUAAAAUUUUUAAAUUAAGUUAUUUUAUUUUGUUGGGGUGACAAGGAGAUAAGAUUAACUCUUUAUUUUUUUUUUCAUUUAUUUAUGAUUUUUUGACCUUUUAUUAUUGUAAUAAGAUAAAGAUACCUUAGGGAUAACAGCGUAAUUCUUUUUGAGAGUUCAUAUCGACAAGAGAGAUUGCGACCUCGAUGUUGAAUUAAGAUUAUAAAUAGGUGUAGGUGCUUAUUAAUUAAGUCUGUUCGACUUUUAAAUUCUUAC
rnacentral:rRNA from 1 species